UACGGAGGGGGCUAGCGUUGUUCGGAAUUACUGGGCGUAAAGCGCACGUAGGCGGCUUUGUAAGUCAGAGGUGAAAGCCCGGAGCUUAACUCCGGAAUUGCCUUUGAGACUGCAUCGCUUGAAUCCGGGAGAGGUGAGUGGAAUUCCGAGUGUAGAGGUGAAAUUCGUAGAUAUUCGGAAGAACACCAGUGGCGAAGGCGGCUCACUGGACUGGUAUUGACGCUGAUGUGCGAAAGCGUGGGGAGCAAACAGG
rnacentral:rRNA from 1 species